UGGAAGACCUACCAAGUGCUGGUUGCCGGACGUGCCAUGAAGAACAAGUCACAGACCCAGCACUGGAGAGCUUACAAGGCAUGUAGGGAAGCUGGUGCGCAAAUAAGAAGUCACAAUGCAGAGAUCAGAGCUCACAGGAAACAUCGUGACCAGGCCCACAUGUGAAUGGCUGCAGGAAAGAAGAAAUUAACACAUUCCCUCCAGAGUCUGGCUGGAACCAGGAAAUAUCUGCAACAACUUCUCCCCUUUUUUUACUUUACCUCCUCACCUUCUCCUCUUUGCUCUAUAAAAGAAACUGGCAUCCAAACCCGGGCAAUAUGGUUCUUUGGGACACUAGUCCACCACCUUCUCAGUUUGCGGGCUUUCCAAAUGGAGUCUCUACUUGUCUCUCAAUUGAUUGGCCUGUCAUGUGGUGAGCAGUACGACCUUGGACUUGGUAACAAAUUUUGGAGAAGCCAGACAGGAGCCCUGCUGCUCUCGGCCAGCCAGCCCCAGUUGGGGAAUUUUCAAGUAAGGCCCAAGCAGCUGCUGGGAUCACUUGUCCUGAGGAUCUUCCCUUCAAAAUUCUCUGAAGGAGCUCUAGCUGCCCCAGCACUUGACAGGUGGAACAAGGAAUCAACAUCUGGAAGCUGAUGGGCUCCAUACAGUAGGGUAAAUAUACAUUUGUAUUUCAAUGUUUUAAUGGCAUAAAUAACCUUGAAGAAGAAGGCAAUGAAGAUCUCUGGGCAAAGGCUUUGUCUACAUCUCCAAUUAUUUUCCCAAGGAUAAAUUCCCAAAAAUGAAAUAAUGGGGACAAAUAAUACCCAAAAAUCCAGGUUUAUUUUAACCCUUCAUAUAUUAUUUACCUCUCAAAACCACAAGUUUUAUGGUGUGAGGAAAGGAUCUAAUUAUUGCUUUCCAGAGAUCAGAAGAAGUGCUCCUCCUGUGUUAGCCCCUCCCGCUUCCCAUCAGCCCCUGGCUUCUUCCACCUCCCUUGCAGAGCGGAAAGAUGAAAUCAAGAGGUGACAUUACAAGCCGCCAUUUCCUUUGCCUUAAUCACAGCAGUGCUUUUCCUCGUUCUGUGAGUAACUGACUUUCUCUAAGUGUCCUCACUUUCUGAUGAGUAACUGGAAAUGUGCUUCUCUGCUUGAACUUUGUCAGAAGUGCUUGUUGCAAAUCAGCUAAAAAGCCCUUGAGAUGCUCAAAUGUAAAUAAAAUGAAAAGGGACACCAAAAUACAACAGUGAGUGAACAAGUUAAUAUGAGUAUAGUACUUAGUACAGUGCCUGGAGCUGUUAAGUGCUCAACAGACAUUCACUGAGUCCCUACCAGAAGCCAGGCACUGUGCUAGGCUCUGGGGACCUGACAGUGACCAAGAUGAACACAGCUACCAUCCUCCCAGAGUGUCCCAUCUGGUGGGCAAGACGAUCCUAAACACAUGAUUGUAUGAAUAAGUAGCUGAUCACAAGUG